rnacentral:rRNA from 1 species
CCUACGGGUGACUGCAGUGAGGAAUAUUGGUCAAUGGGCGAGAGCCUGAACCAGCCAAGUCGCGUGAGGGAGUACUGCCCUAUGGGUUGUAAACCUCUUUUGUCGGGGAGCAAAAGCCGGACGUGUCCGGCUGUGAGAGUACCCGAAGAAAAAGCAUCGGCGAACUUCGUGCCAGCAGCCGCGGUAAUACGGAGGAUGCGAGCGUUAUCCGGAUUUAUUGGGUUUAAAGGGUGCGCAGGCGGAUUUUUAAGUCAGCGGUAAAAGCCUGGGGACCAACCCCAUCCAGCCGUUGAAACUGGGGGACUAGAGAGGGCGAGAAGUAUGCGGAAGGCGUGGUGUAGCGGUGAAAUGCAUAGAUA